rnacentral:rRNA from 1 species
GAUGAACGCUGGCGGCGUGCCUAAUACAUGCAAGUCGAGCGAACAGACGAGGAGCUUGCUCCUCUGACGUUAGCGGCGGACGGGUGAGUAACACGUGGAUAACCUACCUAUAAGACUGGGAUAACUUCGGGAAACCGGAGCUAAUACCGGAUAACAUGUUGAACCGCAUGGUUCAACAGUGAAAGACGGUCUUGCUGUCACUUAUAGCUGGAUCCGCGCCGCAUUAGCUAGUUGGUAAGGUAACGGCUUACCAAGGCAACGAUGCGUAGCCGACCUGAGAGGGUGAUCGGCCACACUGGAACUGAGACACGGUCAAGACUCCUACGAGAGGCAGCAGUAGGGAAUCUUCCGCAAUGGGCGAAAGCCUGACGGAGCAACGCCGCGUGAGUGAAGAAGGUCUUCGGAUCGUAAAACUCUGUUAUUAGGGAAGAACAAAUGUGUAAGUAACUAUGCACGUCUUGACGGUACCUAAUCAGAAAGCCACGGCUAACUACGUG